rnacentral:rRNA from 1 species
AGCAUAUCAAUAAGCGGAGGAAAAGAAACCAACCGGGGAUUGCCUCAGUAACGGCGAGUGAAGCGGCAAAAGCUCAAAUUUGAAAUCUGGCUCCUUCGGGGUCCGAGUUGUAAUUUGCAGAGGAUGCUUCGGGUGCGGCCCCCGUCUAAGUGCUCUGGAAUGGGCCAUCAGAGAGGGUGAGAAUCCCGUCUGGGGCGGGGUGUCCGCGUCCGUGUGAAGCUCCUUCGACGAGUCGAGUUGUUUGGGAAUGCAGCUCUAAAUGGGUGGUAAAUUUCAUCUAAAGCUAAAUAUUGGCCGGAGACCGAUAGCGCACAAGUAGAGUGAUCGAAAGAUGAAAAGCACUUUGAAAAGAGAGUUAAAAAGCACGUGAAAUUGUUGAAAGGGAAGCACUUGCGACCAGACUCGCUCACGGGGUUCAGCCGGCUUUCGGGCCGGUGUACUUCCCCGGGAGCGGGCCAGCGUCGGUUUGGGCGGCCGGUUAAAGGCCCCUGGAAUGUAACACCCCUCGGGGUGUCUUAUAGCCAGGGGUGCCAUGCGGCCAGCCCGGACCGAGGAACGCGCUUCGGCACGGACGCUGGCAUAAUGGUCGUAAAUGACCCGUCUUGAAACACGGACCAAGGAGUCUAACAUCUACGCGAGUGUUCGGGUGGCAAACCCGUACGCGAAGUGAAAGCGAACGGAGGUGGGAGCCUCUUGAGGGGCGCACCAUCGACCGAUCCUGAUGUCUUCGGAUGGAUUUGAGUAUGAGCGUAGCUGUGGGGACCCGAAAGAUGGUGAACUAUGCCUGAAUAGGGUGAAGCCAGAGGAAACUCUGGUGGAGGCUCGCAGCGGUUCUGACGUGCAAAUCGAUCGUCAAAUUUGGGUAUA